AGGUUUAGGAUUAAAGCGAUACUUCUGCAGGUUUAGGAUUAAAGCGAUACUUCUACAGGUUUAGGAUUAAAGCGAUACUUCUACAGGUUUAGGAUUAAAGCGAUACUUCUACAGGUUUAGGAUUAAAGCGAUACUUCUACAGGUUUAGGAUUAAAGCAAUACUUCUACAGGUUUAGGAUUAAAGCGAUACUUCUACAGGUUUAGGAUUAAAGCGAUACUUCUACAGGUUUAGGAUUAAAAAUAUACUUCUGCAGGUUUAGGAUUAAAGCUAUACUUUUUCUGCUUUAGGAUUAAAAAUAUAUUUUUGCAGAUUUAGGAUUAAAGCGAUACUUUUACAGGUUUAGGAUUAAAAAUAUACUUCUGCAGGUUUAGGAUUAAAGCGUUAAAGCUACAUUUUUUACAAUGAAAGGUCUACAGGUUUAAAUGAUACUUCUCCAGCUUAAAGCUAUUCCCAUAGAGCUUAAAGUGAUACUUCUGCGUGAUCACAGUGUACUUUUUUAUUCGUGGAUGAAUACGUGUGAUAAUUGAAUUAAAGUGAUAAAUCUACGUGUGUGUGUGUGUGUGUGUGUGUG